rnacentral:rRNA from 1 species
GCGAUCUCUUCGGAGAGAGCGGCGGACGGGUGAGUAACGCGUGGUUAACCUGCCCUGUACACACGGAUAACAUACCGAAGGGUUACUAAUACGGGAUAACAUAUGAAAGUCGCAUGGUUUUUGUAUCAUUUCUCCGGCGGUACAAGAUGGACCCGCGUCUGAUUAGCUACUUGGUAAGGUAAUGGCUUACCAAGGCAACGAUCAGUAGCCGACCUGAGAGGGUGAUCGGCCACACUGGAACUGAGACACGGUCCAGACUCCUACGGGAGGCAUCAGUGGGGAAUAUUGCACAAUGGGCGAAAGCCUGAUGCAGCAACGCCGCGUGAGCGAUGAAUGCCUUCGGGUCGUAAAGCUCUUUCCUCAAGGAAGAUAAUGACGGUACUUGAGGAGGAACCCCCGGCUAACUACGUGCCAGCAGCCGCGGUAAUACCUAGGGGGCUAGCGUUAUCCGGAAUUACUGGGCGUAAAGGGUGCGUAAGUGGUUUUUUAAGUCAAAAGUGAAAGGCUACGGCUCAACCGUAGUAAGCUUUUGAAACUAGAGAACUUGAGUGCAUAGAGAGGAGAGUAGAAUUCCUAGUGUAGCGGUGAAAUGCGUAGAUAUUA